rnacentral:rRNA from 1 species
CCUACGGGCGGCAGCAGUGGGGAAUAUUGGACAAUGGGCGAAAGCCUGAUCCAGCCAUGCCGCGUGUGUGAAGAAGGCCUUCGGGUUGUAAAGCACUUUCAGUGGGGAAGAAAGCCUUGGGGCUAAUACCCUCGAGGAAGGACAUCACCCACAGAAGAAGCACCGGCUAACUCCGUGCCAGCAGCCGCGGUAAUACGGAGGGUGCGAGUGUUAAUCGGAAUUACUGGGCGUAAAGCGCGCGUAGGCGGUCUGAUAAGCCGGUUGUGAAAGCCCCGGGCGCAACCUGGGAACGGCAUCCGGAACUGUCAGGCUAGAGUGCAGGAGAGGAAGGUAGAAUUCCCGGUGUAGCGGUGAAAUGCGUAGAGAUCGGGAGGAAUACCAGUGGCGAAGGCGGCCUUCUGGACUGACACUGACGCUGAGGUGCGAAAGCGUGGGUAGCAAACAGGAUUAGAUACCCAGUAGUC